UUUAUAAUUCACACAGUAUUCAAAGUGUUUUGUGUUGAGAGCAUGAUAGCAGGGACUUUCCUCAUCUUUGGUGCGCUGAUGGUAACAUUACUUCUGGGCGCCAAACAUUUACUCGCCAUGGACCGUGUUAAUAAUGAAAUUCCAAUUACGAAUUUGACUGGAAUUGGUGGUGAAAAGGUCAAUUUGGUUUUAAGAAGAUUAAAGAUGUAUAAAGAACAAUAAGACAACGAAGGUAGAUAGACAAUAAAAAUGCUAUUUCAAUGCUUUCGUUUGUUAUAU